rnacentral:rRNA from 1 species
AGUGAACGCUGGCGGUAGGCCUAACACAUGCAAGUCGAACGGCAGCACAGUAAGAGCUUGCUCUUACGGGUGGCGAGUGGCGGACGGGUGAGGAAUACAUCGGAAUCUACUUUUUCGUGGGGGAUAACGUAGGGAAACUUACGCUAAUACCGCAUACGACCUACGGGUGAAAGCAGGGGAUCUUCGGACCUUGCGUGAUUGAAUUAGCCGAUGUCGGAUUAGCUAGUUGGCGGGGUAAAGGCCCACCAAGGCGACGAUCCGUAGCCGACCUGAGAGGAUGAUCGGCCACACUGGAACUGAGACACGGUCCAGACUCCUACGGGAGGCAGCAGUAGGGAAUGUUGCGCAAUGGGCGAAAGCCUGACGGAGCAACGCCGCGUGAGUGAAGAAGGUCUUCGGAUCGUAAAACUCUGUUAUUAGGGAAGAACAAAUGUGUAAGUAACCAUGCACGUCUUGACGGUACCUAAUCAGAAAGCCACGGCUAACUACGUG